CCUACGGGAGGCUGCAGUAGGGAAUCUUCCACAAUGGGCGAAAGCCUGAUGGAGCAACGCCGCGUGGGUGAAGAAGGUCUUCGGAUCGUAAAACCCUGUUGUUAGAGAAGAAAGUGCGUGAGAGUAACUGUUCACGUUUCGACGGUAUCUAACCAGAAAGCCACGGCUAACUACGUGCCAGCAGCCGCGGUAAUACGUAGGUGGCAAGCGUUAUCCGGAUUUAUUGGGCGUAAAGGGAACGCAGGCGGUCUUUUAAGUCUGAUGUGAAAGCCUUCGGCUUAACCGGAGUAGUGCAUUGGAAACUGGGAGACUUGAGUGCAGAAGAGGAGAGUGGAACUCCAUGUGUAGCGGUGAAAUGCGUAGAUAUAUGGAAGAACACCAGUGGCGAAAGCGGCUUUCUGGUCUGUAACUGACGCUGAGGUUCGAAAGCGUGGGUAGCAAACAGGAUUAGAUACCCUAGUAGUC
rnacentral:rRNA from 1 species